UACGAAGGGGGCUAGCGUUGCUCGGAAUUACUGGGCGUAAAGGGCGCGUAGGCGGCACUGUUAGUCAGGCGUGAAAGUCCUGGGCUCAACCUGGGAACUGCGCUUGAUACGGCAGAGCUAGAGGAUGGAAGAGGCUCGCGGAAUUCCCAGUGUAGAGGUGAAAUUCGUAGAUAUUGGGAAGAACACCGGUGGCGAAGGCGGCGAGCUGGUCCAUUACUGACGCUGAGGCGCGACAGCGUGGGGGAGCAAACAGGG
rnacentral:rRNA from 1 species